GUAGUCUCGCACAGAUGCAUAUCAAUAAGCGGAGGAAAAGAAACUAACAAGGAUUCCCCUAGUAACGGCGAGUGAAGCGGGAAGAGCUCAAAUUUGAAAUCUUAAAGGGUUUCCCUUUACGAAUUGUAGUUUAAAGAAGUGUUUUCUGUUGAGGUUUUGGUAAAAGUUCUUUGGAAUAGGACAUCAUAGAGGGUGAGAAUCCCGUAUUUGACCUUUACUUUCAACUUUGUGAUACACUUUCAAAGAGUCGGAUUGUUUGGGAAUGCAGUCCAAAAUGGGUGGUAAAUUUCAUCUAAAGCUAAAUAUUGGCGAGAGACCGAUAGCGAACAAGUACCGUGAGGGAAAGAUGAAAAGAACUUUGAAAAGAGAGUUAAACAGUACGUGAAAUUGUCAAAAGGGAAGCGUUUGACACCAGUGUUGUUUUUCUGAAAAUCAAUUAAAGAACUGUUUAUGCUAAGCUUGUUUAGACUUUAUCAGCUAUCUGUUUAGUUUUGAGCUUUUCUUUAAUGCACUUUUCAGUUAACAAGUCAACAUCAAUUUCUUUUGCUGUAAAAAAGCUUGAGGAAGGUGGCUUGAGAUUCGUCUUAAGUGUUUAUAGCCUCUUGCCUAUGCAGUCGGAGAGAUUGAGGUCUGCAGCGUAGAUCCUUCGGGGCUAGAUACAUUUGUGCUAAGUUAUAGCAUUUUUAUAGACAACUUGUUGACUAUGAUUAGUCUUGUAGCUUACUCGCUUAUGCUUAUUUUACCUACGCUUAGGAUGUUGAUGUGAUACUGCGAGCA
rnacentral:rRNA from 1 species